CUCCCUUUGAAAGAGCUAUCAUAUCAUCUCUCUUUGGGUGACUUCCAAUCCGCCCAUUUCACGGGGAGGAGGAAGGUACUGGUUUAUUUCAAUAUGACUUUGAAGGAAAAUUACCGUGCAAAUGUUAGAAGAGUAAUGACUGCAAGACCAAGUCCUAAUUCAGACUGCUCUGAUCAUUCUACUACUCUGAUGUCUAUGGAUUUGACACAAAUCAACAGCCAAGACUUUAAAUUCAGACAUGCCUAUUGCGUGACUGAAAAAGUAUUUAGUGUUUACAUCAUUUGUUGUCAUCCAGAAGAUCUCAAACUCUCAAGUGAUGGGAAAUCCCACUUGUAAGUUGUUACCUACCUCCUCUCAGCAGUUUUUAGCAUUGCCUGCAUCCGUUCUUCUAUUGUUGCUUUAAUUAAGAAUCUAUGUACAAUAGUAGGUCUAGAAGGCAAAUAAUAAUUUUAAGUUUAAAGACCAUCUUAA
ensembl:antisense Gm16577 predicted gene 16577